AGAGUUUGAUCCUGGCUCAGGACGAACGCUGGCGGCGUGCUUAACACAUGCAAGUCGAGCGGAAAGGCCCUUCGGGGUACUCGAGCGGCGAACGGGUGAGUAACACGUGAGUAACCUGCCCCAGACUUUGGGAUAACCCUCGGAAACGGGGGCUAAUACCGAAUAUGACUUGGUAUCGCAUGAUACUUGGUGGAAAGUUUUUCGGUUUGGGAUGGACUCGCGGCCUAUCAGCUUGUUGGUGGGGUAAUGGCCUACCAAGGCGACGACGGGUAGCCGGCCUGAGAGGGCGACCGGCCACACUGGGACUGAGACACGGCCCAGACUCCUACGGGAGGCAGCAGUGGGGAAUAUUGCACAAUGGGCGGAAGCCUGAUGCAGCGACGCCGCGUGAGGGAUGACGGCCUUCGGGUUGUAAACCUCUUUCAGCAGGGACGAAGCGCAAGUGACGGUACCUGCAGAAGAAGCGCCGGCCAACUACGUGCCAGCAGCCGCGGUAAGACGUAGGGCGCGAGCGUUGUCCGGAUUUAUUGGGCGUAAAGAGCUCGUAGGCGGUCUGUCACGUCGGCUGUGAAAACCCGAGGCUCAACCUCGGGCCUGCAGUCGAUACGGGCAAACUAGAGUACUGCAGGGGAGACUGGAAUUCCUGGUGUAGCGGUGAAAUGCGCAGAUAUCAGGAGGAACACCGGUGGCGAAGGCGGGUCUCUGGGCAGUAACUGACGCUGAGGAGCGAAAGCGUGGGGAGCGAACAGGAUUAGAUACCCUAGUAGUCC
rnacentral:rRNA from 1 species